rnacentral:rRNA from 1 species
GAACGCUAGCUACAGGCUUAACACAUGCAAGUCGAGGGGCAGCAUGGUCUUAGCUUGCUAAGGCCGAUGGCGACCGGCGCACGGGUGAGUAACACGUAUCCAACCUGCCGUCUACUCUUGGACAGCCUUCUGAAAGGAAGAUUAAUACAAGAUGGCAUCAUGAGUCCGCAUGUUCACAUGAUUAAAGGUAUUCCGGUAGACGAUGGGGAUGCGUUCCAUUAGAUAGUAGGCGGGGUAACGGCCCACCUAGUCUUCGAUGGAUAGGGGUUCUGAGAGGAAGGUCCCCCACAUUGGAACUGAGACACGGUCCAAACUCCUACGGGAGGCAGCAGUGAGGAAUAUUGGUCAAUGGGCGAGAGCCUGAACCAGCCAAGUAGCGUGAAGGAUGACUGCCCUAUGGGUUGUAAACUUCUUUUAUAAAGGAAUAAAGUCGGGUAUGCAUACCCGUUUGCAUGUACUUUAUGAAUAAGGAUCGGCUAACUCCGUGCCAGCAGCCGCGGUAAUACGGAGGAUCCGAGCGUUAUCCGGAUUUAUUGGGUUUAAAGGGAGCGUAGAUGGAUGUUUAAGUCAGUUGUGAAAGUUUGCGGCUCAACCGUAAAAUUGCAGUUGAUACUGGAUAUCUUGAGUGCAGUUGAGGCAGGCGGAAUUCGUGGUGUAGCGGUGAAAUGCUUAGAUAUCACGAAGAACUCCGAUUGCGAAGGCAGCCUGCUAAGCUGCAACUGACAUUGAGGCUCGAAAGUGUGGGUAUCAAACAGGAUUAGAUACCCUGGUAGUCCACACGGUAAACGAUGAAUACUCGCUGUUUGCGAUAUACUGCAAGCGGCCAAGCGAAAGCGUUAAGUAUUCCACCUGGGGAGUACGCCGGCAACGGUGAAACUCAAAGGAAUUGACGGGGGCCCGCACAAGCGGAGGAACAUGUGGUUUAAUUCGAUGAUACGCGAGGAACCUUACCCGGGCUUAAAUUGCAGAUGAAUUACGGUGAAAGCCGUAAGCCGCAAGGCAUCUGUGAAGGUGCUGCAUGGUUGUCGUCAGCUCGUGCCGUGAGGUGUCGGCUUAAGUGCCAUAACGAGCGCAACCCUUGUUGUCAGUUACUAACAGGUUCCGCUGAGGACUCUGACAAGACUGCCAUCGUAAGAUGUGAGGAAGGUGGGGAUGACGUCAAAUCAGCACGGCCCUUACGUCCGGGGCUACACACGUGUUACAAUGGGGGGUACAGAGGGCCGCUACCACGCGAGUGGAUGCCAAUCCCCAAAACCUCUCUCAGUUCGGACUGGAGUCUGCAACCCGACUCCACGAAGCUGGAUUCGCUAGUAAUCGCGCAUCAGCCACGGCGCGGUGAAUACGUUCCCGGGCCUUGUACACACCGCCCGUCAAGCCAUGGGAGCCGGGGGUACCUGAAGUGCGUAACCGCGAGGAGCGCCCUAGGGUAAAACUGGUA